GAGCUGUGAUGAAUGCAGCGCUGAAUGAUGGAUGGGGUCCAUCAGUAUCAUCUGAAUCUAAAGAUGAUAUUUAGCGCAACUGAGCUC